GACGAACGCUGGCGGCGUGCUUAGCACAUGCAAGUCGAACGGAAAGGCCCUGCUUUUGUGGGGUGCUCGAGUGGCGAACGGGUGAGUAACACGUGAGUAACCUGCCCUUGACUUUGGGAUAACUUCAGGAAACUGGGGCUAAUACCGGAUAGGAGCUCCUGCUGCAUGGUGGGGGUUGGAAAGUUUCGGCGGUUGGGGAUGGACUCGCGGCUUAUCAGCUUGUUGGUGGGGUAGUGGCUUACCAAGGCUUUGACGGGUAGCCGGCCUGAGAGGGUGACCGGCCACAUUGGGACUGAGAUACGGCCCAGACUCCUACGGGAGGAAGCAGUGGGGAAUAUUGCACAAUGGGCGGAAGCCUGAUGCAGCAACGCCGCGUGCGGGAUGACGGCCUUCGGGUGGUAAACCGCUUUCGCCUGUGACGAAGCGUGAGUGACGGUAAUGGGUAAAGAAGCACCGGCUAACUACGUG
rnacentral:rRNA from 1 species